rnacentral:rRNA from 1 species
AACGAACGCUGGCGGCAGGCUUAACACAUGCAAGUCGAACGCCCCGCCAGGGGAGUGGCGGCCGGGUGAGUAACGCGUGGGAAUCUACCCUGAACUGCGGGAUAGCUCCGGGAAACUGGAAUUAAUACCGCAUGUGCCCUGAGGGGCAAAGAUUUAUCGGUUCAGGAUGAGCCCGCGUGCGAUUAGCUAGUUGGUGGGGUAAAGGCCUACCAAGGCGACGAUCGGUAGCUGGGCAAAGAGGAUGAUCAGCCACAUUGGGACUGAGACACGGCCCAAACUCCUACGCGAGGCAGCAGUGGGGAAUAUUGGACAAUGGGCGCAAGCCUGAUCCAGCCAGGGCGGGUGAGUGAUGAAGGCGCUAGGGUUGUAAAGCUCUUUCACCGGGGACGAUACUGACGGUACCCGGAGAAGAAGCCCCGGCUAACUUCGUG